ACAAAGUUUCAAACACUGAUAUGACAUUACUGUUUAACAUAUAUAAUGUUCGUUGCCUUUUUGAUUUUAUAUAUUAGAAUCUGAAUCUAUAUAUUAUUUACAUUAAAAACAUGAACUAUGACAAUAGACAAUACGUUUAUUUCGUCGUGCCAGAAAUCACAACACAAGUUCACAACAGAUAAAAAAUUAUGCAUUACAGUAACAGAUUUCAUUGCAAUUGACAGGAAAUCGCGAAGGACCAGAAAUGGUCAUCAUAAGUCAGCGACACCUAGAUUUUAGACGAGUCAAAAGUAAAAAUUGCAAUUAAAGAAAGCAAUGGAUACAAAGAGAAACUUAGUCAUUCAAAAAAUUACCAACAAGACAGGGAGUGAUAUAAAUAUUCAUAUACGGUAGCAUUUGGGAGAGAGAAAAAAAACAUAAGGCGGGAAAAUUCAGUGAUUAAUUUUUUUUAUCUUCGUUCAUUUCGUCAUGCAGGAAAUAAUACACAAAUUCAAGGCACAGCUUAUACAAUACAGAAACGGAUUUAGUCGCAAUUUAAAAGCAGGUGACUUUCAUCGCAAGAAACAGAAGGGGUCAUCAUAAGUCUGCGACACCAACAUUUGAAAUGAGUCAAAAAUUGAAAUAAUAAAAAAAGUUACGAAUGCGAAAGCAGAAUUCAUACUCCAUGUACAUCCAACAUAUGAGAUUUGAAAGUGAGAAGAGAAAAUGAUGCCGUUUAAAUCUGACUGUGAAAUAGGAAAAACAGUCUCGGUGAACUUAUUGCCACCAACUAACAAAUGUCAGCCGGGCCAUCAAAAAUCCAGAGAACAGAAACAUAUUCAAGCCUUAUAAGUCUAAAGGUGAUUGUAUGAGUAAUAGAAAGUUUAGAAUGAGGUGAUUGAGGUUUAGGGAACAUUUAUAUUUUUGCUACAAUUUCUGUAUUGCUGUUGUUUCUGGCUGUUUCUGUUGCUCUCUGAUCUGAUCUUACGAAGACAUACUCCUGGUUCCGAAUACAUAUAUUGCAAUUGUAUAUUUACAAAUACAAAGGAUAGUUCCAAGUCGUUAUCGUCAUCGUACCUUACAGGACGUCUAAUUGUUACGUAUUUUAUGACUGAGAGAUUGCUUCUAAUUUUAAGAUUAGUAUGACUUUAAGUCUAAACACGUAACUUAACCAAAAGCAGCAAAAUUACCCAAUAUCCUAUACUAUGCACCUACUUUAGCUGCGGAGCAGUGGCCAAGCUUGGGCGUGCAGUGAAAAUAUAUACACAAAAUGCAACAAAAUUCAUAAAAACAUAAGAAAGUUGAAAUUAUGAUUAUGAGACAGAAUGUGUGCGUGUUAUCCAGUGUAUGGAAAGAAAAAGAUUUGGCGUUGAUUUAUUUUAUAAUUUAGGUGACAGAUUACUACCAAUGCUUAGCUUUAAUACACUUCGUUUCACAUUAAUAAAUUUUGAAGCGCUGAAAAAAAUAAAAAAAUACGCGUGUUGCGUUGAUGAGCCUUUCC